GACGGAGGAUGCAAGCGUUAUCCGGAAUGAUUGGGCGUAAAGCGUCCGCAGGUGGCAGUUCAAGUCUGCUGUCAAAGACCGGGGCUUAACUUCGGAAAGGCAGUGGAAACUGAACAGCUAGAGUAUGGUAGGGGCAGAGGGAAUUCCUGGUGUAGCGGUGAAAUGCGUAGAGAUCAGGAGGAACACCCAUGGCGAAGGCAGCUCUCUGGUCGACAUCUGACGCUGAGACGCGAAAGCGUGGGGAGCGAACGGG
rnacentral:rRNA from 1 species